AUCUGGUAUAACCACAAUUUUUCUUCAGUUGCUUUUACUUUUCACAUUUACAAUGGCUGACCAAGAUUUUGUUGACUGUUUAUAAAUAUGGUGUACUUUCUACUUAGUCAUGUUAGUACCAAUUAUACCUUUGAUAUUUUUUUGGAACUAUACUUUUUUAUUUAUUCUGGGCCCCCCUUUCAUGGGAGAAAUUGGUUGAUUAUAGAGAGAAUCACAGAAGCAUGACUGGACCACCCCCUCCCCCCUUUUUUUAGGUCAGUCAGUCAGUCAGUGAGGUAUGAAUAAUGAAAAAAGGUCAUUUUCUUUUUCUAUAUAUAUGGAUUAUGUCUUUUUAGAUGAAAUCCAAAGCCCUC
rnacentral:lncRNA from 1 species